UUGGUCAUGUGACCAGUGACGUCACAGAUCUCCCUGUAACAGCGCCACUCUCGCAUCUAGCAGUUCCACAUCGGUGUCCGGCCGCCAUGACGGAGAGUCCCCGGCCCCUCACCCGCUCAGGUUCUAACUCCAGGAGGAGAAGUCUCCGUUUUCUGUAUUCCCAGGACUGUCCAGCGGAGAAGCUCCCAGAGAACCAUCAGGAUAAAAAUCUAAAGGAUAUUAAGGUUGAGGUUAAAGAUGAAGAAAAAGAGAUGGAUUUAUGGGGCGAUCAGCAGG